CAAUCCUUGUCUAGUUUGAAAGAGUUGUAUACUCAGUUUCAGAGUAUUUCCUCUUUAGAUUGUGAGUCAUAUGUCAGUUUGCUAAACAUCAUCGCGUUCCUAAAGUUUGUAGAGUCAAUAAACGGGUCGACUUACCUUUUGAGUUAGUUCACACCGAUGUUUGGGGUCCAUGUCCUAUUAUAUCUAAAAUUAGUUUUAGAUAUUUUGUUACCUUUGUGGAUGAUCAUUCUCGUGUUACUUGGUUAUGUUAAAUGAAAAAUCAUUCGGAGUUGUUUUCAAUUUUUUGUGCUAUCUCUAAAACUAGUUUUAGAUAUUUUGUUACCUUUGUGGAUGAUCAUUCUCGUAUUACUUGAUUAUAUUUAAUGAAAAAUCGUUUGGAGUUGUUUUCAACUUUUUGUGCUUUUUGUGCUGAAAUAAAAACUCAUUUUAAUGUUUCCGUUCGUAAUUUAAGGAGUGACAAUGCAAAAGAAUAUUUUU
rnacentral:lncRNA from 1 species